rnacentral:rRNA from 1 species
UACGAAGGGGGCUAGCGUUGCUCGGAAUCACUGGGCGUAAAGCGCACGUAGGCGGGUCGCUAAGUCGGGGGUGAAAUCCUGGAGCUUAACUCCGAAACUGCAUUCGAUACUGCCGUGCUUGAGGACUGGAGAGGAGACUGGAAUUUACGGUGUAGCGGUGAAAUGCGUAGAUAUCGUAAGGAAGACCAGUGGCGAAGGCGGGUCUCUGGACAGUUCCUGACGCUGAGGCACGAAGGCCAGGGGAGCAAACGGG